rnacentral:rRNA from 1 species
UACGUAGGGUGCAAGCGUUGUCCGGAAUUAUUGGGCGUAAAGAGCUUGUAGGCGGUUUGUCGCGUCUGCUGUGAAAUUUCGGGGCUCAACCCCGAACUUGCAGUGGGUACGGGCAGACUAGAGUGUGGUAGGGGAGACUGGAAUUCCUGAUGUAGCGGUGAAAUGCGCAGAUAUCAGGAGGAACACCGAUGGCGAAGGCAGGUCUCUGGGCCAUAACUGACGCUGAGAAGCGAAAGCAUGGGGAGCGAACAGG